rnacentral:tRNA from 1 species
AUUAGGGUAGCUAAUCUGGCAAAAGCAAGAGACUUAAAAUCUCACCAUGAGGGUUCAAAUCCCUCUCCUAACC